GAGCGAACGCUGGCGGCAGGCCUUACACAAGCAAGUCGAACGGCUCUUCGGAGCAGUGGCGGACGGGUGAGUAACGCGUGGGAACGUGCCCUUUGGUUCGGAACAACACAGGGAAACUUGUGCUAAUACCGGAUGAGCCCUUCGGGGGAAAGAUUUAUCGCCAUUGGAGCGGCCCGCGUUGGAUUAGGUAGUUGGUGGGGUAAAGGCCCACCAAGCCGACGAUCCAUAGCUGGUCUGAGAGGAUGAUCAGCCACACUGGGACUGAGACACGGCCCAGACUCCUACGGGAGGCAGCAGUGGGGAAUCUUGCGCAAUGGGCGAAAGCCUGACGCAGCCAUGCCGCGUGAAUGAUGAAGGUCUUAGGAUUGUAAAAUUCUUUCACCGGGGAAGAUAAUGACGGUACCCGGAGAAGAAGCCCCGGCUAACUUCGUGCCAGCAGCCGCGGUAAUACGAAGGGGGCUAGCGUUGCUCGGAAUUACUGGGCGUAAAGGGCGCGUAGGCGGACAGUUUAGUCAGAGGUAAAAGCCCAGGGCUCAACCUUGGAACUGCCUUUGAUACUGGCUGUCUUGAGUUCGGGAGAGGUGAGUGGAAUGCCGAGUGUAGAGGUGAAAUUCGUAGAUAUUCGGCGGAACACCAGUGGCGAAGGCGAUCAUGGCCCGAUACUGACGC
rnacentral:rRNA from 1 species